rnacentral:rRNA from 1 species
UAAUACGUAGGAGGCAAGCGUUAUCCGGAUUUAUUGGGCGUAAAGGGCGUCUAGGCGGUGUCUUAAGUUGGGCGUGAAAUCUCCCGGCUCAACUGGGAGGGGCCGUUCAAUACUGAGACACUUGAGGGCAGGAGAGGAAAGUGGAAUUCCCGGUGUAGUGGUGGAAUACUUAGAUAUCGGGAGGAACACCAGUGGCGAAGGCGGCUUUCUGGCCUGCACCUGACGCUAAAGCGCGAAAGCGUGGGUAGCGAACGGGAUUAGAUACCCCGGUAGUCCACGCCGUAAACGAUGGAUACUAGGUGUUGGUGGUAUUGACCCCAUCAGUGCCGUAGUUAACGCGUUAAGUAUCCCGCCUGGGGACUACGGCCGCAAGGCUA